UACGUAGGGAGCAAGCGUUGUCCGGAAUCAUUGGGCGUAAAGCGCGCGUAGGUGGCCCCAUAAGUCCGCUGUGAAAGUCAAAGGCUCAACCUUUGAAAGCCGGUGGAUACUGUGGGACUAGAGUACGGAGGAGGCGAGUGGAAUUCCUGGUGUAGCGGUGGAAUGCGCAGAUAUCAGGAGGAACACCAAUAGCGAAGGCAGCUCGCUGGGACGUUACUGACACUGAGGCGCGAAAGCGUGGGGAGCGAACAGG
rnacentral:rRNA from 1 species